CCUACGGGAGACAGCAGUGGGGGAUAUUGGACAAUGGGGGGAACUCUGAUCCAGCGACGCAGCGUGAGUGAAGAAGUAUCUCGGUAUGUAAAGCUCUAUCAGCAGGGAAGAAGAAAUGACGGUACCUGAGUAAGAAUCCCCGGCUAACUACGUGCCAGCAGCCGCGGUAAUACGGAGGGGGCAAGCGUUAUCCGGAAUUACUGGGUGUAAAGGGAGCGUAGACGGUGAUGUAAGUCUGGAGUGAAAGGCGGGGGCCCAACCCCCGGACUGCUCUGGAAACUAUGUGACUGGAGUGCAGGAGAGGAGGGCGGAAUUCAUAGUGUAGCGGUGAAAUGCGUAGAUAUUAGGAGGAACACCAGUGGCGAAGGCGGCUGACUGGACUGUAACUGACGUUGAGGCUCGAAAGCGUGGGGAGCAAACAGGAUUAGAUACCCUUGUAGUC
rnacentral:rRNA from 1 species